CGCUGGCGGCGUGCUUAACACAUGCAAGUCGAACGGGGCGAUUUAAGCUUGCUUAGAUGAGCCUAGUGGCAAACGGGUGAGUAACGCGUAGGCAACCUGCCUCUAAGAUGGGGACAACAGCCCGAAAGGGCUGCUAAUACCGAAUGUUGUGAGUUUUCCGCAUGGAGAGCUCAUUAAAGAUGGCCUCUACUUGUAAGCUAUCACUUAGAGAUGGGCCUGCGUCUGAUUAGCUAGUUGGUGGGGUAACGGCUCACCAAGGCGACGAUCAGUAGCCGGUCUGAGAGGAUGAACGGCCACAUUGGGACUGAGACACGGCCCAGACUCCUACGGGAGGCAGCAGUGGGGAAUCUUCCGCAAUGGGCGAAAGCCUGACGGAGCAACGCCGCCGUGAGUGAAGAAGGUCUUCGGAUCGUAAAGCUCUGUCGAAGGGGACGAACGUAACCUUUAUCAACAACGAAGGUUAAUGACGGUACCUUUCAAGAAAGCCACGGCUAACUACGUGCCAGCCGCAGC
rnacentral:rRNA from 1 species